GUGGGGAAUUUUGGACAAUGGGGGAAACCCUGAUCCAGCCAUGCCGCGUGAGUGAAGAAGGCCUUCGGGUUGUAAAGCUCUUUCGGCCGGGACGAAAUCGCACGGGCGAAUAUCCUGUGUGGAUGACGGUACCGGAAUAAGAAGCACCGGCUAACUACGUGCCAGCAGCCGCGGUAAUACGUAGGGUGCGAGCGUUAAUCGGAAUUACUGGGCGUAAAGCGUGCGCAGGCGGUUUUGUAAGCCAGAUGUGAAAUCCCCGGGCUUAACCUGGGAACUGCAUUUGGGACUGCAAGGCUAGAGUACGGCAGAGGGGGGUAGAAUUCCUGGUGUAGCAGUGAAAUGCGUAGAUAUCAGGAGGAAUACCGAUGGCGAAGGCAGCCCCCUGGGUCGAUACUGACGCUCAUGCACGAAAGCGUGGGGAGCAAACAGGAUUAGAAACCCGGGUAGUCC
rnacentral:rRNA from 1 species